GCGGGCGUAAUCCAAAUGGUAGAGAUAAAGGUCUUAAAAACCUUCCAGUGUGGGUUCGAGUCCCACCGCCCGUACCA
rnacentral:tRNA from 1 species